rnacentral:lncRNA from 1 species
CAGUUUCAAGGAGAGACACAGCAGGAGAUUUUGGAGAGUUCGUGGAAACGAACCUGCCUAAAGUGCAAAGGAAAAUAAUCAAACUGAUUACUGGACUAAACUCGGAGAAGAGAGGGAUCAGAGAGGAAGAACGAAACACAGCUGCAGAGGAGGCUAACAUCUUUUACACAUUUCUUCAUACAGUCAGAUUCGUGGGUGUGUCGUGUCCUCACAGGGUAUACCCCGCCUCUCACCCAAAGCUAGCUAGGCUAGGCUCCAGCCCCCCGUGACCCUCCACUGCAG